rnacentral:hammerhead_ribozyme from 1 species
AUCUAGCUGACGAGUCCCAAACAGGACGAAAUGCGCUUCUUGUAU